rfam:Halomonas sp. PBN3 contig85, whole genome shotgun sequence.
UGCCUAUUUUGCCUAGGUGGAGUUCGAUCGCCGCGGCAAGAGAUGCUCGACUUCAUCGUUGGUCACCGGGCGUCGUACAUGGUCGAGCCGAUCUACCGGAUGCUGCUGUUUACCCCA